CUAGUAAUCGCAGAUCAGAAUGCUGCGGUGAAUACGUUCCCGGGUCUUGUACACACCGCCCGUCACACCAUGGGAGUCGGAAAUGCCCGAAGCCGGUGACCAAACCAAUAAGGAAGGAGCCGUCGAAGGCAGGUCUGAUAACUGGGGUGAAGUCGUAACAAGGUAGC
rnacentral:rRNA from 1 species